GUUUCAGUAGUUUAAUAAAAACGUUGGUCUUGUAAAUCAAAAUUGAAUUUUUAUUCCUGAAGCU
rnacentral:tRNA from 1 species